GCUUUACUUCCUAUCAUUGUUCUAUGUGCCUGUUAUUAAAAUCAACUCUUAUUUCUGUGAACGUAACCAGUCCAACAAACCCAGAGACAGGAUUGUUUGGUUCAGACGGUUGUAACUACUUUACUCUAGUAAAGUAAAAGUAGUUAAAGUAAAGUCUUUACUCGAAUUUACUCAUCUUUUGAUGAAUGGGUGAAGCUACUGCUGUGACCUGAGUGACAUAUUACCUCCCUUGCUCCUGGACACGAUGAGCUCUUGUUGUCAAUGUUGUUAUCAGGCAACAGGAGCCAAACUUUGAUGGUGCAUCAACAAGAAAUGUGUGUAAAGCUUUAGAUGAGACCACGUCAACUCAUCUUUAUACAAAAAUUGUCUCUAAGCUAAACAAUAUCAUUAACAAUAUUAUUGGUUAUGGGUUUGUUCUUGUUGUUUUGCCUCAUGACAGAAGCAAUAUAAGCGUUUGUUUCUAUUUGUUUCUGUUUGUGUUAAGUUAUAUAAAACAUGACACAUGUCAAGUCACAUGUUCGCUCAAACCUGACAAACAAGGAAACAGGCUGUGGUCGCUCCCUGUGGUGAUGAGCACUGCGUCAUAAAGAGUCAGCUGACUGUCAUACCCGUGGAUCUACGUUUCUUCGCACGGUAAGCGUUUAAAUUCUUUUAAUAAAACCUGUGUGUGUGUGUGUGUGAAUAUGUCUUUACAUGUUUGCAGGUUUUAGUUCAGUGUCAUGUUUGUUUGUAGAACUGCUCCAAGAAGAAGACUUGUUUUGGGGGUAAGGGCAGCGCUGACCCCAGCUAAGGUGUGGCUCCAGUUCUUUCAAGAUUUUCAUUGACACAUUUGAAAUGUACGGACGAAACGGAGGACCCCACUGGCCCCAUGGAAUGCCAGGUCCACCAGGCUGCGGUCCACCCCCACCCUGUCCUCCCCCACCGUGUCAUCCAUCAUGUGGAGGAGGCCACGGCCACGGACCUUGUCCCUAUGUACACAGUCCCCAUGGACACGGACAUGGUCACCAAGGACACGGUCACCAUGGACACGGUCACCAUGGACACGGACAUGGUCACCACGGACACGGUCACCAUGGACACGGCCACCAUGGACAUGGAUUUUAGCCUGGUCAGGUGUGAUCAUUGUCAGAGUGCUCCAGCAUCCGGGAUCCUGACGAGAUAAAGAUUUAUCACUUUGAAGACAAUACAACCAAUUUACCACACUGCAGUUAUAAUAAAUCUGAUUAAAUCACUCA
rnacentral:lncRNA from 1 species